rnacentral:rRNA from 1 species
CACAACUAUUGACAACGGAUCUCUUGGCUCAUGCAUCGAUGAAGAACGCAGCGAAAUGCGAUAAGUAAUGUGAAUUGCAGAUUUCAGUGAAUCAUCGAAUCUUUGAACGCACCUUGCACCUUCUGGUAUUCCGGAAGGUACAUCUGUUUGAGUGUCAUUAAUCUCUCAAC